rnacentral:rRNA from 1 species
UGCAUCGAUGAAGAACGCAGCGAAAUGCGAUACGUAGUGUGAAUUGCAGAAUUCCGCGAAUCAUCGAGUCUUUGAACGCAAGUUGCGCCCGAGGCUUGUCCGAGGGCAUUUCCGCUAGAGCGUCACCGCGCCCCCCACCGAUCCGCUCCCGCCGCGAGGCGCCAGUCGGUUCGAGUGGAAGUGGCCGUCCCUUUCGCGUCGAGCGAGUGAGGGUCGGCUGAAAUGGAUGGAAUCGGGCCGCCGUGGUGACACAGUCCGCGAUCGGGUGAUUUUCCGCGAGCCUCCCCCGGGAGGGUCGCCGUGAAUUUUUCUAAGUGCGUGGCUGCGUCCCCCAGUUGGUUUCGGUUCCCUCGUGCAGGUCGUGCGCGCCCCCGCGGCGCGCGUCACGCAUCAGACCUCUAAUCGGAAAAGACUACCCGCUGAGUUUAAGCAUAUCAAUAAGCGGAGGA